rnacentral:rRNA from 1 species
ACAGUUAUAGAUACUACAAUUGUGUACUAGAAAAUUAGUAAAACAUUUUAUUUUUAGUAAAGGAGAUUGAAAUCAUUAAUAUCAAAAAGUACUGCGAAGGAAAUAAUUAGAAAUUUUUACUAAGUAGUGUAGUUUACGUACCUUUUGCAUCAUGGCUUUACAAGAGAACAUGAAAUUAUGUAUUCAUAACUAGAAAUCUAAUGAGCUACUUUAGCUUCGAAUAAUAGUUUUACAAUAUGGAUGUAGCAAAAUCCUUUUUUAAAGUUAAAGUUGCAGUGAAAUUCUAUUCGCAUUAGGUGAUAGCUAGUUCUUUUAAAAAUGCAUAUAAGUGCAAGCAUUUACGAUUAAUUUUUUUAAUUAACUUAAAAAGAUUUUAAUAAAUGGAUUAUAUAUUUAAGGAUAAGCUUAGAUAUUAAGAUAAUAGUAAAUCAAAAAUUAUUUUUAGGCUUGAAAUCAGCUAAAGUCAAUAAAAUCGUUAUAGGUUAUUAGUUUAUUGCAUUGAUUUUAAUAAAUAUAUUUGUUGCAUAUAAAGGCAAGUAGCUAAAUUUUUAAGUUACUUUGUUUAUGUUAAGAUGAGUAUUUGUAUAAUCUAAAAAUACUUUCCAAUUUAAAAUUUUAAGUAUAAUAUAUAGUUUUAUAAAUAUUUGAAAUCAAUAAAAGGAACUCGGCAAAUAACUAACUUCGCCUGUUUAGCAAAAACAUGGCUCUUUGAUUAUUAAAUAUAAAGAGUUUGGCCUGCCCAGUGAGAUUUUAACGGCCGCGGUACUCUGACCGUGCAAAGGUAGCAUAAUCAUUUGCCUUAUAAUUGAAGGCUAGUAUGAAAGGUUUAACGAAAGUUAGGCUGUCUUUUUUUGAAUAAAAUGAAAUUAACCUAUAGGUGCAAAGGCCUAUAUUUAACUAAAAGACAAGAAGACCCUAUUGAGCUUUGUAAAGAUAUAGUAGAAUAAAAUAUAUAAGCAAAAUUUUAAUCUGCUUAAAUUUUUAGUUGGGGCGACUUAGGAAUAAAAAUAACUUCCUAGCAUUAAGAAUAUUUAUAGCUUUUUUAUCCUAAAAAUUUGGAUUGUCAGAAUUAGUUACCAUAGGGAUAACAGCAUAAUCUUUCUUAAGAGUUCUAAUCGGAAGAAAGGAUUGUGACCUCGAUGUUGGACUAGAAUAUCCUAAAGGUGCAGAAGUUUUUAAGGGUUAGUCUGUUCGACUAUUAAAAUUCU